UUUCUCCAUUAGGACUGAGCCCCUGAUGCCCAUAGCUGUAACCAGCUCAGUAAAGACCUUUUGAUGAUUCCUUUCUCUUUCUUGUCCCAUGUUACCCAUGCCCCUACAGGUGCUUCCUGGGAUCACCAAACCCCUGUCUCAGAUUGUGCUUUUGGGGGAGUUCACUGGAUGACAGUUCUUUAUGGAUGAGUUUGUUCAGAUACAGGGUUAGCUGAGCAUGAUUUUGGUAUGAUUAUUUCAAUGAAUCAAUACUCUGAGAAGAGCAUCCCAGAUGAAUCAUGGGGAGAUAUAAGGCAGAGCCCUGAAGCUGAACAAAUCGGUGGAUUCCAUCUUCUUGGCCCCUCUAUUCUGGAGUGAGAAAUCAGACUGAAUCUCAAGACUCCUGUGAUCAAGUCUAGAACAAAGGCUGAUUCUCUCCCUUUGGAGCAUACGAUGAGCCAUUUUUGUCAGGAUGAAGGAAGCUGUUUUCAACAUAAAGCUGAUUCACAAAUGAGAGGAAAACUAAGAUAAGUUCAGCCAACAGUUGGGAAACCUGAUUGACAUCAAGGACUGAUGCGUUAAAUUGCAUGUGAAGUCCACUCUGUCGUAAAACUUUUCAUCUACACAAUACAAGAUGUCUCCUUUAUUUCUUUUUAUUUUAAAACAUUUAUUGCAAUUUAUAAUGGUUAGAGUAUAAAUUAGUAUAAUAUAUAGCAUAGUAUAUAUAUGAUACAGUUAUAUCAUUUAAAUUUUUUUAACUUUUUAUAUAAUGAUUUUUACUUUUUUCUAUUAUAGCUGGUUUACAGUGUUUGGUCAGUUUUCUACUGUACAGCAUGGUGACCCAGUUACACAUACAUGUAUAGAUUCUUUUUUCUCACAUUAUCAUGCUCCAUCAUAAAUGACUAGACAUAGUUCUCAGUGCUAUACAGCAGGAACUCAUUGCUUAUCCAUUCAAAAGGCAGUAGUCUGCAUCUAUUAAUCCAAAGCUCCCAAUCUAUUCCACUCCCUCCCCCUCCCCCUCAGCUACCACAAGUCUAUUCUCCAAGUCCAUGAUUUUCUUUUCUGUGGAAAUGUUCAUUUGUGCUGUAUAUUAGAUACCAGAUGUAAGUGAUAUCAUAUGGUAUUUGUCUUUGUAUUUCUGACUUACUUCACUCAGGAUGAGGGUCUCUAGUUCCAUCCAUGUUGCUGCAAAUGGCAUUAUUUUGUUCUUUUUUACUGCUGGGUAGUAUUCCAUUGUGUAUAUAAUCCACAUCUUCCUAAUCCAAUUGUCUGUUGAUGGACAUUUGGGUUAUUUCCAUGUCUUGG
rnacentral:lncRNA from 1 species